GACGAACCGUCCUAACGUUGUUCGGAAUCACUGGGCUUAAAGGGCGCGUAGGCGGUCGGCAAAGUCAGGGGUGAAAUCUUUCGGCUCAACCGGAAAAGUGCCUUUGAAACUAGUCGACUCGAGUGAGGUAGGGGCACGUGGAACUUCCGGUGGAGCGGUGAAAUGCGUUGAUAUCGGAAGGAACGCCGGUGGCGAAAGCGACAUGCUGGACCUUCUUCUGACGCUGAGGCGCGAAAGCUAGGGGAGCAAACGGGAUUAGAAACCCUUGUAGUCC
rnacentral:rRNA from 1 species